UCCCGUGUGGCUCAGUUGGUAGAGCAUGGUGUUUGCAACGCCAGGGUUGUGGGUUCGAUUCCCAUAGGGGAC
rnacentral:tRNA from 1 species